rnacentral:tRNA from 1 species
CAGGAGAUAGUUUAUAUAGAAUAUCAGCUUUGGGUGUUGAUGGUGGAGUUAAAAACUUCUCUCUUGA